rnacentral:rRNA from 1 species
GACGAACGCUGGCGGCGUGCUUAACACAUGCAAGUCGAACGAUGAACCCGGAGCUUGCUCCGGUGGAUUAGUGGCGAACGGGUGAGUAACACGUGAGUAACCUGCCCUUGACUCUGGGAUAACUGCGGGAAACUGUAGCUAAUACCGGAUACGACCCUCGGCGGCAUCGCCAGGGGGUGGAAAGAAUUUCGGUCAAGGAUGGACUCGCGGCGUAUCAGCUAGUUGGGGAGGUAACGGCUCACCAAGGCGACGACGGGUAGCCGGCGUGAGAGGGGGAAGCGCCACGCUGAGACUGAGAAACGGGCCAGACUCCUACGGGAGGCAGCAGUGAGGAAGAUGGUACAAUGGGCGGAAGACUGAUGCAACAACGCCGCGUGAGGGAUGACGGCCUUCGGGUUGUAAACCUCUUUUAGUAGGGAAGAAGCGAAAGUGACGGUACCUGCAGAAAAAGCACCGGCUAACUACGUGCCAGCAGCCGCAGUAAUAC